CCCCACCCAAAAUCCAUGUCAUAAAACUUGAGCUUUGGUGUUCCAGCUACCCAGAUCAUUGUUGUCGGAACCCCAUUGGGAAACAAGUCCUCGAAGGAUUCUAUUUCUUUAACAACUCCAUCCUUAUCUGUCAAAGUCUUAUGUAGACUUUCUCCUAUUAAUUUUGCUGCGGUUACGAACCCUUCUUUACUUCUUAACUGUAUGGUGUUUUCCAUAGCAACACACGGUCCAACACAGUUACCGAAGUAGGCUGCUGGGAUCACGGGAUUCAAUCGUGCCCUACAAUCAACGGCGAUACCAAAUAGUUGCAGCUCAUCCUUGCUUGUUUUCGCUAUGCAACUCCACAUAUAACCACAUGCUACCGUAAAGGAUGAUACAUAUGCUAAUGUCGUUAGUUGUGUUGAAACCAAUUUUUUCAACCUAUUAAGCAUAGCUCGAGGCAAUAUAAAGGUGGCUCGAACUUUAUCAGUUGGUCCACAUAGUUUUGGAGGUUGGUACUCUUCUUUAGAGUUUUCAACGUCCCCAAACUUCAGAUAACAUUCAUCUAGUUUAGGGUUUUGGAUUGGUCUUUCGUAAAACGGUAAAGUUCCAUUAGCUAGAAAUAACUCAUCCGUACCACAUCGAGCAAUUGUUGUCCAUGCCUUCAAGAAACAGAACCUGGUGCUAGCAUCACCUAGACAAUGGUGAUUUGUCAUUCCGAUGGAGAAUCCAGAGUUUGGAAAAAGUGUCACUUGAACGGUAAACACCGGGAUCUUUGUAAAAUUUGAGGUUUUAUGAGCCUGACCCAGUAGAGGUAUAAGAUGGUAAAACAUCUCACAAUCUCGGGGAUGGUUUCCAAGUGAUGGAUAACGAGUGUUUGAGAUUAGGAAUAAUAUUAUCGAUGAAUUUAGUGUGUGUGAUUGGCAUCUCAUAAAAGAAUAGAUAGUGAACAGGAGGUUGGCUUACCCACAUGAAGUCAAAGUAAGUCAGUGGCAACACC
rnacentral:lncRNA from 1 species